rnacentral:lncRNA from 12 species
UGUGUGCAUGUGCGUGCGUGUGCGUGUGCGUGUGCGUUCAUAGAGCUGCGUUUCAAAGUUACUCUCUUGCUGACUCGCUCUCUGUUGGAGGAAGAUAAGAGACUAGAAGUCCCUCUUCCCAGCCAGUUCCAACACUCCGGGCUCCGGUCUGCGUGCAGAGUAAGGGAAGCGAGGUGGCCCAGGCCGGGCCCCCGGCAGCAGGCAGGACAGAUUCUGGGAGAGAAGGUGAAAAGCAGCAAGAGCGUCCAGCAUUGGUUUCACCGCAGAGAUGAGCCAGGGUACGAAGCAGCGUCACUGGGGCAGGGACAGUGGCCCCAUCCGGCUCCUCCCGCUGGAACCAGGCUCAGUGUCCCAGCCUCCAGAGCUUUGAGCUGUGUCUGGAGCAUCUGGACUUUAUCUCCAUGUACUUGGUGCAUCUGUUAGCAGUGUGCCCUAAGGUAUCAGAAAAGCCUAAGAGAGGUUAUUUUCAGGGGGGUCUGGGGUGGCUC